rnacentral:snoRNA from 1 species
AAAAAGAGAAGAUACAGUGAAAGUAUCACUGCGUUCAAGAAAGAAUUAAAAGCACUGAGCUUUGAGCCAAUUUAUGGAGAAUCAAUAAAGGAUAUCAUAGCUAGAUUAACGGUAAAAAUAGA